rnacentral:rRNA from 1 species
CCUACGGGUGGCUGCAGUCGAGGAUCUUCGUCAAUGGGGGCAACCCUGAACGAGCGAUGCCGCGUGUGCGAUGAAGGCCUUCGGGUUGUAAAGCACAAAAGAGAUAAGAAAGGGCAACUUGAUCGAAUCUCAGUAAGCUCGGGCUAAGUUCGUGCCAGCAGCCGCGGUAAGACGAACCGAGCGAACGUUGUUCGGAAUCACUGGGCUUAAAGGGCGCGUAGGCGGGUGGUUAAGUCUGUGGUGAAAUCCUCCAGCUCAACUGGAGAACUGCCAUG